AUUGAACGCCGGCGGCAGGCCUAACACAUGCAAGUCGAGCGGAGCGGCGGACGGGUGAGGAAUGCCUAGGAAUCUGCCUGGUAGUGGGGGAUAACGUCCGGAAACGGGCGCUAAUAUCGCAUACUAGCAGAUGAGCAUAGGGCGGAUUAGCUAGUGGGUGGGGGAAAGGCCUACAAAGGCGACGAUCCGUAAAUGGUCUGAGAGGAUGAUCAGUCACACGGGAACUGAGACACGGUCCAGACUCCUACGGGAGGCAGCAGUGGGGAAUAUUGGACAAUGGGCGAAAGCCUGAUCCAUCCAUGCCGCGUGGGUGAAGAAGGUCUUCGGAUUGUAAAGCACUUUAAGUUGGGAGGCGUUACCAACAGAAUAAGCACCGGCUAACUUCGUGCCAGCAGCCGCGGUAAUAC
rnacentral:rRNA from 1 species